AUCGAAAAGUGGGGCGCGACAGUUGGCGACUCCACUGGGGACUUCCUAAGUGGGUCCGAGCAUUUGAUUUAGCCAUUCGUUUCCUUUUUCUACCCUUUUUAUGCAUUGCAUUUGGAUAUUAGGGUUGCAUUUUUAUAUAGGACUUUUUCACCUCGCGCGCGUAUCACACUUUUCCCUCACUCACGUAUGUGUGAUUGGUUGAUUGGAUGAUGUUUACUUGUUUAUCUCGCGCUUGCAUUGCAUUUGGGGGGGUGUGUCACCUUUAGAGCCUCGCGUGGUUCUCACCCCUUCCCUCAAAAUAGGGGAGCACUUCAUACGUGCACGUUUACUUGCUUUAUCCCAUUUUAUUUUAUUUUUCGUGGGCGCCAUCCCACACCGCCUUGUAGGACUAGGACCGAUUGCCUUGGGUAGGCGGAUGGUGUGCUCUGCGCCCAUAGCGCUACCUAAGGGAUCACUCGAGCCACCGACCAAAGGCCCUGGGAGUGAUGACCCUUCGCCUUUAGGUCUGAAGGCUUGGGAGCCGAAGCUUUAUCGAGUCUAGGCAUUAGUGAACCCCAGCCUCAUGCAUCCAUAUUAGAAUGACCUAAGGUAGAGUCGGCCUCACCCUAUUUUAAGCACAAUAGGCACGAGGGAAGGGGUUCUACCCCUUUUACUUGCUUUAUUGUAUUUCUUCUUCUUAAUUGCUCCCAAUGUGUUAUGUGUACUAUCAAUUGCACUAACCAUUCUUUUGUUUUCUUGGCUUGCAUACAUGUGCCUUAGCAAUAAGGGGCCUCUUUGGCACUCUUUUAGUGACUCACCCAUUAGAUAGCUCACAUGUCUAAAUUUCAGUCUUUGCACUUAUCUUUCAGUAAAUACAUUUCAUGUUUAGACCCUUUCCCCCCGUUGCAUUAUUUUGUCCUCUAGGCCAUAUUUGUUGCAUAUUUACAUUGCUUUAAUAAAUGGCAUCAUGCAUAAACCCUAGAAAGGGAAUGCCAUUUAGGGGAUCCCGUGUUAGGAAUAAACCACCCCAUGUCUCGGAUAUAUAAUCCAAAUGAGACUUGCACGUUUACCUUUCUCGUACCAUCCAAAGGGGUAGUGCACAAGGUAAGGUAGGAUCCGAUCAUGUUCAUAGAGUGAUCUUUUGGAAUAUGAGCGUCUGAUAAUCACUUUUUGGGCCAUUUUUAAACCUAAUUGGUAAAAUUCCCUUGCGUGAAGGACAUUAAUUUGAAGAAAUUCACAAGUGAUUCCUCCUAUUGAGACGAUAAAUAAAUUGAGGCCAAAAUUUGAUUUUUAGAAGGUCAUAGACUAAUGCACCUCAAUAAUUUUGAAAUAACCAAUGGCCGGACAAUUCAAC
rnacentral:lncRNA from 1 species